CGGGUGCUGGACCACAGGGAACAGCACGACAAGGCCAAUGGUGAACACCACCGAGACUGUGCCGCAGAAACUGCCCGUCUCGGAUGUAGCCGAGCGCAUCGGGAAGUUCACGCUUCUGAAUGCCUUUUUUCAGCAAACACAACAAGAACCGCAGUGAAUUACGUCUUUGCUGAUGAAACCUUGCUGAUUUUUGCCGUCUGGAAGCCCAGAGCUUCAGACACCAGCACGGUGGAGGACAUGUUUGCACGGCUGAUGGCUCCUGCUGGCAGAGCUGGUCCUGCAACUUCACCUCCAGGAGCUUCAAUCAACCCAGGAACUUCAGUCAGCAUUGCCAAGGCUGUCCUCCUUUGGAGGGUAAUGAUUUGUUGACUGUUUCUGCUGUCGCUGUUACCCAGCUGCUUCCAGACGCGCGACCGCCGAGGCCAGGUCCGGGCCAUGGAGCACGCGGGGGCUCAGAGGCAGAUGCAGG
rnacentral:lncRNA from 1 species